rnacentral:sRNA from 1 species
AUUUCUCUGAAGGUUUGACAUCCAUAGAAGUUCCAAGUCAGCAGGUUCAGCAAGAGGGGGCUGCUGCCAUGGCUCUGAUGGUGCCCGGUCCCCUCAUGUGCUGCUUGUCUUUCUCAUAAGCGCGUUUCUGACAGCUUGUCAGCCUGGCUUCCCACCCCUUCCUGGGGUCAGCCUGCAACACGGGCUGUCUUUCUUCGUCAUCUUAACAUGCAAUGCAUUUUGCCUCCUGCCUUGAAUGAGGAUCCGAUGGAAGAUGAAGGCUUAUGGGACAUGUUUGUGAAGGACAUCCCGCGGAGCGCCACAUCCUACACUCUCAGCCUGGAUAAGCUCCGGCAAGGAGUGACUUACGAGUUCCGGGUGGUGGCUGUGAAUGAGGCGGGCUACGGGGAGCCCAGCAACCCCUCCACGGCCGUGUCAGCUCAAGUGGAAGCCCCGUUCUAUGAGGAGUGGUGGUUCCUGCUGGUAAUGGCUCUGUCCAGCCUGAUCGUCAUCCUGCUGGUGGUGUUCGCCCUCGUCCUGCACGGGCAGAAUAAGAAGUAUAAGAACUGCAGCACAGGAAAGGGGAUCUCCACCAUGGAGGAGUCUGUGACCCUGGACAACGGAGGAUUUGCUGCCCUGGAGCUCAGCAGCCGCCACCUCAAUGUCAAGAGCACCUUCUCCAAGAAGAACGGGACCAGGUCCCCACCCCGGCCUAGCCCCGGUGGCCUGCACUACUCAGACGAGGACAUCUGCAACAAGUACAACGGCGCCGUGCUGACCGAGAGCGUGAGCCUCAAGGAGAAGUCGGCAGAUGCAUCAGAAUCUGAGGCCACGGACUCUGACUACGAGGACGCGCUGCCCAAGCACUCCUUCGUGAACCACUACAUGAGCGACCCCACCUACUACAACUCAUGGAAGCGCAGGGCCCAGGGCCGCGCACCUGCGCCGCACAGGUACGAGGCGGUGGCGGGCUCCGAGGCGGGCGCGCAGCUGCACCCGGUCAUCACCACGCAGAGCGCUGGCGGCGUCUACACCCCCGCCGGCCCCGGCGCGCGGACUCCGCUCACCGGCUUCUCCUCCUUCGUGUGAGCAAAGCGCCGCGCCUCCCUCAGGGCGGAACGGAGGCAACUUUCCGGAGUCUAUUUUUGUUAAGACAAUCAACUCCAAUAACUGAGCUGAAGUUUUUGUUUAAAAAGAAAAAAAUCUGAUAAGUGAUGAUUUUACCUACUUGUGGACACUAGAUUUCAAUUAGGAAGGUUUUUUUAAACGGCUUUUUGUAACUUCGCUGCAGGAAGCAGGUUUGUUUCUUUUUCUUUUCUUUUUAAGAGAAGGUGUAUUUCACUGGUGCAAUGGCUUGGCACCUCUGGGGCCUGGGAGGACCUCAGACCUCCCCAGCCCUGGGUUUCUCCGUCUUCAAGACCAACUCGGAAGGCUCAAGCGGGGAGAGGGAGUGGAGGGUCAGGUGAGAUCUCAGAGCUGCCCCGGCCGGCCCCCGUCUCUUUCUACCUCCUCUUCCAGAGAACCAGCGGCUCACACCCUUCUCAACACAGGGCAUCCUCGGCGGCUCCUGGGGUUUGAAGAGCAAACGUUUUUCCCUGGGCUCAGUGCGUUUUGUCCCAGCUUCAUCUGUUUCUGAAAUGUUCUCACUUGGCAGUGUCUAGUCAAGGAGUCGGCUUUCGGGUUCCUGACGGCCGGGCAGGGAUGCUAAGGUGUGGCUCAGCCGUCACUGUCUGUGUCGCUGCAGUGGUGCGGUCCUCAGGCUUUUCUGCCUGUCUUUCCCCCUUCCUUCCCACCUGACAGCGAGGGAGAGGGAAGCCUCUUAGGGCUGGAAGCCACCACGCUGGCCCUCUCCUUCCCCGAACACAGCACACGGUCAACUCCGCGGGACACGAGGACACGGGACGGCGUCUCCAGAAUUGCUUGUUACGUAGGAAGCGUGCAUUGUUAACCAGAGUAUUUUUUAAAUCUUUUUAUCUCUUUUUAAACUGUGUCACAUGAAAUGAAUGCGUCUUUGCUGUCUCCAGGUGCCUUUUUAUUAAUUGUUCAGCUUUGUACAUGGGAAAGAUGAAAAGCAACAGUGUCUGCAAAUAAAGCAAAACAGCUCUGAGAACAC